ACAUGCAAGUCGAACGGUGAAGCCAAGCUUGCUUGGUGGAUCAGUGGCGAACGGGUGAGUAACACGUGAGCAACCUGCCCUGGACUCUGGGAUAAGCGCUGGAAACGGUGUCUAAUACUGGAUAUGAGCUCUCAUCGCAUGGUGGGGGUUGGAAAGAUUUUUCGGUCUGGGAUGGGCUCGCGGCCUAUCAGCUUGUUGGUGAGGUAAUGGCUCACCAAGGCGUCGACGGGUAGCCGGCCUGAGAGGGUGACCGGCCACACUGGGACUGAGACACGGCCCAGACUCCUACGGGAGGCAGCAGUGGGGAAUAUUGCACAAUGGGCGGAAGCCUGAUGCAGCAACGCCGCGUGAGGGAUGACGGCCUUCGGGUUGUAAACCUCUUUUAGCAGGGAAGAAGCGAGAGUGACGGUACCUGCAGAAAAAGCGCCGGCUAACUACGUGCCAGCAGCCGCGGUAAUACGUAGGGCGCAAGCGUUAUCCGGAAUUAUUGGGCGUAAAGAGCUCGUAGGCGGUUUGUCGCGUCUGCUGUGAAAUCCCGAGGCUCAACCUCGGGCCUGCAGUGGGUACGGGCAGACUAGAGUGCGGUAGGGGAGAUUGGAAUUCCUGGUGUAGCGGUGGAAUGCGCAGAUAUCAGGAGGAACACCGAUGGCGAAGGCAGAUCUCUGGGCCGUAACUGACGCUGAGGAGCGAAAGGGUGGGGAGCAAACAGGCUUAGAUACCCUGGUAGUCCACCCCGUAAACGUUGGGAACUAGUUG
rnacentral:rRNA from 1 species